GUGUUACGUCGCAUGACACACAGGUGGUGGUGGUGAAGCACCCUUCCCUCUCCACUCACUUCCCCCAAUCUGUGGUUUCCUGGGCACCCUUCCCCCCUGUGCUGGGCUGCAGCCUUUGACGCCUGCGUCUGAAGACCGACACCGAGGCCAUCCCACGUCGAAGGCUCCUUCAGAUGCAGCCUUGUGUCCCAGACUCUGGAGGAUGUAACAGAUGAAUCCUUCGUGGCCCAGCCUAUCCCAAGAUGCAUUGCACACCAGUGACCAUUAUAUAUUAAGUGCAGUUAACUGGCUGACCAUUAACUGUUGCUAACGUUACGUUAGCUAAAAGCUCACAGCUCAAACAAUCUGAAUUUAAUAUGUUUACCUGAAAACGCUGCGUCAGCCUGAAAUACAUCAGACGGCGGUGAAUCAUCUUCAUCAUAUUUAAUACCAACCUGUGGGUCCAUGAUUCAGCGCUAGCUUACUCCUCCUUUCCUCAUGCACAGCUGGUUGCUAGGUAACAGGACUGCCAACAGGUCGUAGGGGCGAGAACAACUGAUGAUGCAACCAGGAAAUGCUCCACAGAGCAGACCGUCCCAUUUCGGAGACCCUUCAGUUUGACUGGUGCGUCUUCAGAGGACGCGGCCACCAUCGACCGUGAAGGCCGCGUCCUUCAGAGGCUGCAGCGCCUGAACUGAGACACGGUUACAGACUCGUAACCAGCAAUGGUUCGGACGGAGAAUCUGUGACUGUGGCGAUGUCAGUGACACGUUUCUGUUGACUUUAUUUCAGAGCCGCCGCCCAUCGUCUGUCCACUGAAAAUGUUUUGUUCUUAUGAACAACCAGAAAAAUCAACUUUUAGAAUAUUACAAAAAAUAUCUGAUGAAAUGAACUGUUUUUGUUUGUUUGUUGUUUUUGUUUUUUAAAGAAUCCUAAACACAUAUCAGUCAAUAAGUUAUUUACUUUAGUUUUUUCUUUUCAUCUCUCACGUGUCGUUUCUUUUAUACCCGAUGUUUUACACAUCGUACUGUUGAAUAGUUGUUUUUAUUUAUUUGUGAGCACUGAUUGGACCAAAGCGACGUCUGCUCCGACGUCACAAAGACGCUCUCGACUGUAUAAAACAAAAACCAGACAGAAAAUUAAACAAUAAUUUAUUUUGUAUUAAAACUUUAAAUCUGCCCCAAAAACAAACUACAAACAUUCACGGAAAUAAAAAGGAAACCUUUUCCAAAAAUAAUUUUAAAUUUUAAAUACUUCAUAUGUUUCAUCAAAAAAUCUGUUCACAGAAAAUACAAAAUUUCAGAAUUAAAAUAAUAAUAAUAAUAAUAAUAUAUCCAGUAGAUUUCAUAGUUUCCCAACUUUUCACAGCAAAUUCAGAAAAUUUAAACAAAAAAAUCAUUUAAACAGCGUGUUUGAACAUUUAAACAUUUAAACAGCGUGUUUGAACAUCAGUGUUACCCAUAAUUCCACGCUCUUCUGAAACAAACAAACAAACAAACACAAACAAACAAACAAACAAACACACACAUUUAAAAACAUUCAGUGACUCGGUCCCUUUUUGUUGCUGUAGUAACGUAAGUUAAAUUUCAGUGUUCCUCUCUUCAUUCAAAUCAAACAUGUAUUUCUAUCUUUGACCUUCACAUUUGACCUUUGACCUUCACAUUGACCCUUUAGCUUACAGAAGAAUAUUUUCAUAUUGUAAAUAUUGUCACAUUUUGUUGACCUUUAAUGUGUCGAUCUGACCGACCAAUCACAGAGAAGAUUAAACUGCUUCAUUCAGACACUUAGUUUUUGUUUUAUCAUUUUAAAGAUUUGAUUUUUGUGUUUUGUUUUUUUCCCGCAGUGAUGCCGGCACCGUGUCCAUCUGUAUAUUUUCAUCUUGAACUUCUCGUCUCUGCAGAGCUUCACAGC